GCUGGUGGAGGCAGUGUAGCCCCUCCCCCCACCAGCUGGACCCCCCUCACCCCCAGAACACGGCGUUCUGCCAGUCCCUAUCCUUUGAAGGGACCACACACCCGCUGCCCAGUAGGGCCCUUCCUGAUCUAGCUUCGGUGGGGGCCAAGUGGCCCUGCUCAGGGCUAUGGCCACCCCUCACCGCGGUGGGGAAACUGAGGCCAUGCAGGUCACUGGCUGAGUAUAGGCCAGCAGGGACCCAGGGCAGCCCGCAGGCUUCAGCGAUGCUUCCUAGGGCCACCAACUUCUGCCU